AGUGAACGCUGGCGGUAUGCCUAAUACAUGCAAGUCGAGCGGCCGCACAGUGAGCUUUUGCCUCUGCCGUUAGCGGCUGGCGGGCGGGUGACGCAUACAUCGCAUACCUCUUAUUCUGGGAUGAUAACGUAGGGCAGCUUCCGCUACUACAUCAUAUGUUGUACGGCUGAAAGCAGUAGAUCAUCGCACUUUUCGCGACUCAUUGAGCUGAUGUCGGAUUAGCUAGUUGGUGAGGUAAAGGCUCACCAAGGCGACGAUCCGUAGCUGAGCUGAGAGGAUGAUCGGCCACACUGGAACUGAGACACGGUCCAGACUCCUACGGGAGGCAGCAGUAGGGAAUCUUCCGCAAUGGGCGCAAGCCUGACGGAGCCAUGCCGCGUGAGUGAUGAAGGCCUUCGGAUUGUAAAGCUCUGUUAUUAGGGAAGAAAAGAUGUGUGAUAAUCUCUGCACGUCUUGACGGUACCUAAUGAGUAAGCAACGGCUAACUUCGUG
rnacentral:rRNA from 1 species